rnacentral:tRNA from 1 species
CGCGGGGUGGAGCAGUCUGGUAGCUCGUCGGGCUCAUAACCCGAAGGUCGCGGGUUCGAAUCCCGCCCCCGCUACCU